UGGAGAAGUUUGAUCCUGGCUCAGGACGAACGCUGGCGGCGUGCUUAACACAUGCAAGUCGAACGAUGAUGCCCAGCUUGCUGGGUGGAUUAGUGGCGAACGGGUGAGUAACACGUGAGUAACCUGCCCUUGACUUCGGGAUAACUCCGGGAAACCGGGGCUAAUACCGGAUAUGAGCCGCCCUCGCAUGGGGGUGGUUGGAAAGUUUUUCGGUCAGGGAUGGGCUCGCGGCCUAUCAGCUUGUUGGUGGGGUGAUGGCCUACCAAGGCGACGACGGGUAGCCGGCCUGAGAGGGCGACCGGCCACACUGGGACUGAGACACGGCCCAGACUCCUACGGGAGGCAGCAGUGGGGAAUAUUGCACAAUGGGCGAAAGCCUGAUGCAGCGACGCCGCGUGAGGGAUGAAGGCCUUCGGGUUGUAAACCUCUUUCAGCAGGGAAGAAGCGCAAGUGACGGUACCUGCAGAAGAA
rnacentral:rRNA from 1 species